rnacentral:rRNA from 1 species
GAUGAACGCUGGCGGCGUGCCUAACACAUGCAAGUCGAGCGGACGGACCAGAUGCUUGUUUCUCUGUUGGUGGCGGCGGACGGGGGAGUGAUACGUAACUCACCUACCUAUAUGCCUCGGCUAACUUCGUAGACCCGGAGACAAUACCGGAUUAUAUUUUGAACCGCAUGGUUCAACAGUUAAUGACGGCCUUGCUGCUACUUAUAGAUGGAUCCGAGCUGCAUUAUCUAGUUGGUAAGGUAGCGGCUUACCAAGGCAACGAUGCAUAGCCGACCUGCGAGGGUGAUCGGCCACACUGGAACUGAGACACGGUCCAGACUCCUACGGGAGGCAGCAGUAGGGAAUCUGCCGCAAUGGGCGAGAGCGUGACGGAGCAACGCCGCGUGAGUGAUGAAGGUCUUCGGAUCGUAAAACUCUGUUAUUAGGGAAGAACAGAUGGGUAAGUAACUGUGAAGGUCUUGACGGUACCUAAACAGAAAGCAACGGCUAACUACGUG